ACACCGCCCGUCGCUACUACCGAUUGAAUGGCUCGGUGAGGCCUUCGGACUGGCCCAGGGAGGUCGGCAACGACCACCCAGGGCCGGAAAGUUGGUCAAACCCGGUCAUUUAGAGGAAGUAAAAGUCGUAACAAGGUCUCCGUAGGUGAACCUGCGGAGGGAUCAUUA
rnacentral:rRNA from 1 species